rnacentral:rRNA from 1 species
UAAUACGGAGGGUGCGAGCGUUGUCCGGAAUCACUGGGCGUAAAGGGCGCGUAGGCGGCCCGGUAAGUAGGGGGUGAAAUCUUGCGGCUUAACCGCAAGGCUGCCUUCUAGACUGCCAGGCUCGAGCACAGUAGAGGCAGGUGGAAUUCCCGGUGUAGCGGUGGAAUGCGUAGAGAUCGGGAAGAACAUCAGUGGCGAAGGCGGCCUGCUGGACUGUAGCUGACGCUGAGGCGCGACAGCGUGGGGAGCAAACAGG